rnacentral:rRNA from 1 species
GAUGAACGCUGGCGGCAUGCCUAAUACAUGCAAGUCGAACGAGCUCUUCGGAGCUAGUGGCGGACGGGUGAGUAACACGUUGGUACCUACCCCGAAGUGGGGAAUAACUGCCCGAAAGGGUGGCUAAUACCGCAUAAUACCGUAAGGUUAAAGCAGUAAUGCGCUUCGGGAGGGGCCUGCGUCCCAUUAGCUAGUUGGCGGGGUAAAUGCCCACCAAGGCGACGAUGGGUAGCUGGAUCGAGAGGUUGACCAGCCACACUGGGACUGAGAUACGGCGCAGACUCCUACGGGAGGCAGCAGUAAGGAAUCUUCCACAAUGGACGAAAGUCUGAUGGAGCAAUGCCGCGUGCAGGAUGACGGCCUUCGGGUUGUAAACUGCUUUUAUAUGGGAAGAUUAUGACGGUACCAUAUGAAUAAGGACCGGCUAACUACGUGCCAGCAGCCGCGGUAA